CGGACGCCUUCUCUCUCUGCCUCCAUUUUUGCAUAUUUGGCCUUCCUCUCGUCCUCCUGUUGCCUCAGAGCCUCUUGCCUUUCUUCCUCUUUUUUCGCAGCAUCGGGGUCCUUCUCCUCCUCCCCACCAAGCAUCUUGCCCAUGUCUUUGGUGGCCCCUGUUGUUGAUGGUGACAGAGACAGCAAGAGAAAGAGAGACAAAACACAAUCUCAACCAAAGACAAAAGUGUCUUUGUGUCAAGUGUGACAAUAGAUGGAACAAGAGGAAUUUACAUCCUCAUGCAAAGCGUCCACUUGGACUAUGGGUCAAGACCUGAGAACAAAAGGCUUCGAGUGCUUUUGAAAGGAUGGUAAUAAACAGACACUGGGGCUCAUGCUGCUGCUGAUCCCAUCUGCUGUCUGUACUCGUUAGAUAUGCUAAACAAGUGAUCAAGCAAAAAUGUAUUUAUUAUUAUAUCCUAUGUUUAUUACAGCUUUGGUGUUGUAGCUUUGACUUUUGUGUUCCUUAUUUGAUCACUUCUAAUGCUAAUGAUUCUGAAAUGUCCUACCAUCAGUUUCUUUUUCUGGAUCAGAGCAUUAGUUCACAUUUGAAAAGUAAAUAGUAUGUUGUUGUUUUUUCAAUGAUGGUAAAAGAGAGUCUAGAAAGAUGCAAGAUGAAGACUGGUUUAUUAAAAUGCACUGGCAAAGCUGCCUCUGGCACUGACAUCAUAAUGCAAUUUGACUUCUUCUUCUGUCUGUGUGGAGCAUCUGGUGUGUGCUACGGACAUCAAAUGACAUGCUUCAUGUGUCACCACAUGGCCGGUGUGUUUUGUCCUAGCCCAGUAUCCCUAGGAACUGCAAGUCCAGUGCCAAUCUGGGAACAAGUAUGUUGUUUAUGUAGAGAUGUGGAGAGUACGGGACUACAGACUACAUGGCGUAUAGUGAUGUAGCGUAAUGGCGUAAUGUGUAGCCCAUCUGACUUUCAUGCGGGAGAUCAGAGUCCUCAUUCAGUUUUUUAGUUGCCCUCAAACAUACAUAAUGUGUCACGACCACAACCACUCCCUAACAUUAACCAUACUGUAUCAAACAUGCACAGAUGUUGCUGGGGUGUGCACACCGUCAACACUGUUGGAGCUGUCAGGACUCAGAUGAAGCCAUUUGCUGCCAUUCAUCACUCUCGUAGGCUACAACAUGAAAACAACAUCCACA